rnacentral:ncRNA from 2 species
AGUGAUGAUAGAGGCGCGGAUUUCAAGAGUAAUCAGCAAGAGGAUGAGUAGAUCCUAUGACUGCUGACGAAAGGGGAGGCCGCCGAAGUGAUAAAUUGACUAUUUCCAAUUUAUUACUGGUUCUGCAUUUAACAAGUGUAGAAUUGUCAGAUCCGUUUCGGUUCUGGAGGGCUAUCUCACAU